UACGGGGGGGGCAAGCGUUGUUCGGAAUUACUGGGCGUAAAGGGCUCGUAGGCGGCCAACUAAGUCAGACGUGAAAUCCCUCGGCUUAACCGGGGAACUGCGUCUGAUACUGGAUGGCUUGAGUUCGGGAGAGGGAUGCGGAAUUCCAGGUGUAGCGGUGAAAUGCGUAGAUAUCUGGAGGAACACCGGUGGCGAAGGCGGCAUCCUGGACCGAUAUUGACACUGAUGAGCGAAAGCUAGGGGAGCAAACGGG
rnacentral:rRNA from 1 species